UGGGGAAUAUUGCACAAUGGGCGCAAGCCUGAUGCAGCCAUGCCGCGUGUAUGAAGAAGGCCUUCGGGUUGUAAAGUACUUUCAGCGGGGAGGAAGGUGUUGUGGUUAAUAACCACAGCAAUUGACGUUACCCGCAGAAGAAGCACCGGCUAACUCCGUGCCAGCAGCCGCGGUAAUACGGAGGGUGCAAGCGUUAAUCGGAAUUACUGGGCGUAAAGCGCACGCAGGCGGUCUGUCAAGUCGGAUGUGAAAUCCCCGGGCUCAACCUGGGAACUGCAUCCGAAACUGGCAGGCUUGAGUCUUGUAGAGGGGGGUAGAAUUCCAGGUGUAGCGGUGAAAUGCGUAGAGAUCUUGAGGAAUACCGGUGGCGAAGGCGGCCCCCUGGACAAAGACUGACGCUCAGGUGCGAAAGCGUGGGGAGCAAACA
rnacentral:rRNA from 1 species